CUCCAAUACACAUCGCAUGUUGCUUUCGGGAAAUGACUCGAGUAGUGAGGAUUUUCAUGUCGUCAGCCUGGAAAACUGCGAUGACAUCAGCUUUUGAGGGAUAUUCUGCAUUCGAAUAUCUUCUUUCAACCAGUCGCGCUGAGUGACAAGCACAGUUCUGUAUGAUGACCUCCGCAUUCCGACCGACGAUGCUGAAUUCUGAUUGUGGCCGUUUCAUCGGGUUACCACGCUUGUGAUAUUGCGGGCACCAGCGAACAAGACAAAGUUGCAGUGAAAUCUGCGCCUGAUAUUCCAAGCUUGGAUUCCUGCCUGAGCAAGAGCUCCACCGCUAUAUUGAGGAUCGGGAUGCCCAGCUACAUGAGGAUUGACCUGAGCAAAUGCUGUUUGUUUUUAAACAUGAAGGGGAUUUUUUAUUUCUCGUUCAUUCGGGAGGAGACAAGUCAAGAUGCAAAGCAGACCACGCUUCGGAGUUUUCCUGAGGCGCAUUACAAACGAUCAUGUCAGCCCGGAACUCGCAUCCUUCGAACAGCUUCUGGAGGGGUCAAAAGCUCUGGUUCCGUAUGAGGAUGAGAUCAUCAAGACACGGAAUUUUUUUUGUCGUUGUUAGUAAGUACCCAUUAUAUUUAGAUAGUGACAUCAUGACUUAAUGUCUCUCAAUGUCUGAGGUUGACAUCAACCUUGUAAUACACACUUGGCGAGUAUCAAUAACAUGAUGAUUACAGUUGCAUAUGACUUUCUGUUCUUUCAGUUUGUUUUUCUCUCCUCUUUUCAACUUGAUGCAACCCUUUCAACAGUUGACAAUGGCUUCUGCAGGGCUCACUCCGCAACACAGCGUUCUGCAGGCUGUAGCACACAAUUCCUGCUCCAUAUCCAAAAGGGGGACUGUAACACUUGCUUAGAGGAUUGAUCCCCUGUUCAUCUUUUGUUCUUUUCCGAACUUUCACAAGUUUUGUUCCCAACAAGCCCACCUACAGCUGCAAGGAACUGUCAAAAUGAAAUGAUAGUCUGUUUUUUGUUGUUGGAGGAUUUGAUAUUGCACAAUUUGUGCAUUCCAGUAAAACGUGUUGUAGUUUUCAACACCCUGUUGAUUGGCAAAUCUUAGUGGAUCUGUCAAUAAUUUUUUUCAAUAAUAUCUGUCAAUAAUAUUUGUCCCCUACCUAGUCAAUCAAUAAUCUACAACUAUCACAACAAUGAUAGUCAUUUGACUAAAUAAAAAAUUCCAAUCAAUAGUUCAAAAUCAAUCUUUGAUGCAAGAUUGUAUGUUGAUUAUGUGAUUGAAUCUAAGA
rnacentral:lncRNA from 1 species